GACGAACGCUGGCGGCGUGCCUAAUACAUGCAAGUCGAGCGGACUGAUUAAGAGCUUGCUCUUAUGGCGUUAGCGGCGGACGGGUGAGUAACACGUGGGCAACCUGCCCUGUAGAUCGGGAUAACACCGAGAAAUCGGUGCUAAUACCGGGUAAUAUCUGAGAUCACAUGAUCUUAGGUUAAAAGAUGGCUCCGGCUAUCACUACAGGAUGGGCCCGCGGCGCAUUAGCUAGUUGGUAAGGUAAUGGCUUACCAAGGCGACGAUGCGUAGCCGACCUGAGAGGGUGAUCGGCCACACUGGGACUGAGAUACGGCCCAGACUCCUACGGGAGGCAGCAGUAGGGAAUCUUCCGCAAUGGACGAAAGUCUGACGGAGCAACGCCGCGUGAGUGAUGAAGGGUUUCGGCUCGUAAAGCUCUGUUGUUAGGGAAGAAACAGUACCGAACGAACUAGGUCGGUACCUUGACGGUACCUAACCAGAAAGCCACGGCUAACUACGUG
rnacentral:rRNA from 1 species